GUCCCUGUCGAUUAGUGGUUAAAUCAUCUCGUUGUGGAAGAUUCAACAGCGAGUUGCAAUCGUCAACCGAGAAGCCGGAGGUUCGAAUCCUCCUCGGGACA
rfam:Plicaturopsis crispa FD-325 SS-3 unplaced genomic scaffold PLICRscaffold_3, whole genome shotgun sequence.